rnacentral:misc_RNA from 1 species
AAUUACUACUAAAUGUGGUUAAAAUCAAACUAACACAUUAGAAAAUUUAAUAAUUUGAAAUAAUUUGUUCUAUUAAUUCAUUUUCUCCUUGUUUAGUUUUGUAAAUAUUAUUUUUUUGUAAAGUAAAUUUUUUUUAACUUUUUUUAAUGAAUUUUUUAAUACAAUAGCAAUUUGAAAUUGAUUAUGUACAAUUGAUUAUGUACCUAGUUUUGAGAGCUCUAAAACUCUCAAAAUGUCUGUAAAAAGACAAUAUUAGCUCUUUCAAAACUGAACAGUGACAAUUUUAUAUCUGAUCUAAAAAUCAGAUAAUAUUCCAAAGUCUUUUAAAAUUAAACCGAGUUUAUUUUUAAAAUUUUAUAACUUUUAGUUAUAAAAACUCUAAAAUUGUUAAAAUACCUUAAGAUAUAUUAUCUAAAUAG